CACACCGCCCGUCACAUCACGAAAGUGGGCUGUACUAGAAGAGGUUGAGCUAACCGCGAGGGGGCAGGCCUCCACGGUAUGGUUCAUGAUUGGGGUG
rnacentral:rRNA from 1 species